AUUGAACGCUAGCGGGAUGCUUUACACAUGCAAGUCGAGCGAGCGGCGUACGGGUGAGUAAUGUAUGGGGACUGCCCGAUAGAGGGGGAUAACUACUGGAAACGGUAGCUAAUACCGCGUACUAUCGGUUAACCAAUAUGGGAUUAGCUAGUUGGUGUGGUAAUGGCUCACCUAGGCGACGAUCCCUAGCUGGUCUGAGAGGAUGAUCAGCCACACGGGGACUGAGACACGGCCGAGACGCCUACGGAGGCAGCAGUUGGGAACACUGCAAAAUGGGCGCAAGCCUGAUACAGCCAUGCCGCGUGUAUGAAGAAGGCCCUAGGGUUGUAAAGUACUUUCAGUCGGGAGGCGUUACCGACAGAAGAAGCACCGGCUAACGCCGUGCCAGCAGCCGCGGUAAUUC
rnacentral:rRNA from 1 species